rnacentral:rRNA from 1 species
GACGAACGCUGGCGGCGUGCUUAACACAUGCAAGUCGAACGAGACGAUUGAAAGCUUGCUUCUUAUUGAUUCGAGUGGCAAACGGGUGAGUAACGCGUAAGCAACCUGCCCUUCAGAUGGGGACAACAGCUGGAAACGGCUGCUAAUACCGAAUACGUUCUUUUUGUCGCAUGGCAGAGAGAAGAAAGGGAGGCUCUUCGGAGCUUUCGCUGAAGGAGGGCUUGCGUCUGAUUAGCUAGUUGGUGGGGCAACGGCCUACCAAGGCGACGAUCAGUAGCCGGUCUGAGAGGAUGAACGGCCACAUUGGAACUGAGACACGGUCCAGACUCCUACGGGAGCAGCAGUGGGAAUCUUCCGCAAUGGCGAAAGCCUGACGGAGCAACGCCGCGUGAGUGAAGAAGGUCUUACGGAUCGUAAAGCUCUGUUGUCGGGGACGAAUGUUGAGACCUAGAACAUAGGUUUCAAAUGA